AGUGCUUGUUCUAGCUUGGAAGGUUUGUGCUGUCGUGUAUUUGGUUUUUCAAUCUCCAACUUCCGAAUAGUUAACAUCGCGUUGUAUCUUCUAGUACCUAUUUCGAUGUAUGAUACGCGCGAGUGUGGGCAGAUUAGUAUAAAUUGAUUUUUUCUGUUUUCUUAAUUUUGGAUAUAUUGAAUCAUCAAACGUGAAGUUUUUCUGUACUUUACCAUCAUGAAGAAUAAGACCAAUUCGUCAUAAAGAAUGAAAUACAUUUCAGUUAGUUCACCUUGUCACACAUCAGAACGAGGAAGAUGAUGGAGAAGAGGUCGAAACAUAUUUUCACCAAACUGUACAGAAAUGGAAUGUUCUCAGUCUCACAGAGGAUUAUUACAGCUUUAAGAAAAAAGUUCCUGACCAAUUCUAAUUCAAAAGAUAAUCGAAAUUCAAUUGUAUUUCGAUAUCUCGUAUUAUAGGGAAAUUGAAUGACUAAAGGAUACUUUGAGGGUUUAGAAAUAUUCCAGAGACUCUUCUGUAUCUACA